GUGCCAGCAGCCGCGGUAAUACCGGCAGCCCGAGUGAUGGCCGAUCUUAUUGGGCCUAAGGCGUCCGUAGCUGGCUGCGCAAGUCCGUCGGGAAAUCCACUCGCCCAACGAGUGGGCGUCCGACGGAAACUGCACAGCUUGGGACCGGAAGGCUCGAAGGGUACGUUCGGGGUAGGAGUGAAAUCCCAUAAUCCCGCACGGACCACCGAUGGCGAAAGCACUUCGAGAAAACGGAUCCGACAGUGAGGGACGAGAGCUGGGAUCUCGAACCGGAUUAGAAACCCCUGUAGUCC
rnacentral:rRNA from 1 species